rnacentral:rRNA from 1 species
CAGUAGCCGCGGUAAUACGUAGGUGGCAAGCGUUGUCCGGAAUUAUUGGGCGUAAAGGGCUCGCAGGCGGUUUCUUAAGUCUGAUGUGAAAGCCCCCGGCUCAACCGGGGAGGGUCAUUGGAAACUGGGAAACUUGAGUGCAGAAGAGGAGAGUGGAAUUUCACGUGUAGCGGUGAAAUGCGUAGAGAUGUGGAGGAACACCAGUGGCGAAGGCGACUCUCUGGUCUGUAACUGACGCUGAGGAGCGAAAGCGUGGGGAGCGAACAGGAUUAGAUACCCCCGUAGUCCCUGUCUCUUAUCA